CGGACGCUGAACACAACCAUGAAAAUAAGUUACUCAUUACAUCCAUGGAACAACCAGACAAGGAUGUUUGUUGAAUGGAGAAAUCCCGCAGGUGGUUAGAUGUCGCUCAUUUUUCUAACCACAGGACCUCAACCUUUCGGGAGUUUUUUUUCCAGUGCAAAUGCUGAUGUUGACCAUGUGCGACCAUGUGCCAAUACAGCAAUCUUAUUGAACAAGUUUCCAACCACCUCAAGAACAAAGUCCAGCCUGGCAAAAAGUUAUGAUCACGCGAACACGAAGACCGGGGCGGGGAAUUUAUCACGCGGGGCCCCCCAUCAUGGGUCUGCUGGCCCAUCCGCUACACCACUGACCCAUUUUUGCUGACCCCAGAUGGUUCAAAACAAUGAAGCUGCAGAAACUGUCAUAAAGAACAGACGUCUGGACUGAGUCCCUCCCUCAGAGAUGUCAGGAGGAUAAUGCUUGCACAGGUUCAAGAGGGGAAGGAGACAAGGAAGGACAGCAACUGUUUAUGCACGUAGAACUUACAGAUUUAAAUUUGAGGUGUGCUGUAGGCUAGGGUGGACAAAUGGAAAGUUCAUGCCCUCUCCAGAUUGCCUGUGAACAACACAUUUGUCAGGCAUAUAAAGGGUGGAGUGGCCCCCCAGUGGUGUGCUUAAAUAUGUACCAUCUGAAGUGGUCCAUGCCUAUGCCCAUGCCUUUUAUACAGCAUUGAAGGACCAGGAGGAAAGACAGAUCAUCAAAAAAACAGAUACAAUCAACCCAGAAAGACGGAGUUGGCCCCAGUUUUUUUGAAUGACUGUGUGAAAGCACAGUGGGCUGAUCCAGUGAUGUCACAAUUGUGGAUGUAUAUGGACAGAGGGAGAUGACCUGGACCAAGGGAACAAGUAGCAAAGGAUCAAUAAACUCCAAUUGUUGCUGCAACAGUGGGGCAGUCUCUGUGUGGAUCAAAGAUUGUUGUGUAGGAAAGUAUGUGAUCCAAAGACAUUUGAAACAAGUUCAGGUUCCUGGUGUCUGCAAAACCAAGUCCUGGAAUAACACAGCCAAGCAGGACACCUUGAAGUGGUAAAAACAUUGGGCUUGGCUUGUUGCCAUUUCUUUUGGACUGAGAUGACACUAGGAUUGCAGAAGUGGUGUCUUGAAUUUGUUCAAUGUAAUCUGCAUAAGAAUAAUAAAGUGAACACCCCUCUUGUAUCUAUACAAUCAAAAAAUCCUA